AUUGAACGCUAGCGGGAUGCUUUACACAUGCAAGUCGAACGGCAGCGCGGACUUCGGUCUGGCGGCGAGUGGCGAACGGGUGAGUAAUGUAUCGGAACGUGCCCAGUAGCGGGGGAUAACUACGCGAAAGCGUAGCUAAUACCGCAUACGCCCUACGGGGGAAAGCAGGGGAUCGUAAGACCUUGCACUAUUGGAGCGGCCGAUAUCGGAUUAGCUAGUUGGUGAGGUAACGGCUCACCAAGGCGACGAUCCGUAGCUGGUUUGAGAGGACGACCAGCCACACUGGGACUGAGACACGGCCCAGACUCCUACGGGAGGCAGCAGUGGGGAAUUUUGGACAAUGGGGGCAAUCCUGAUCCAGCCAUCCCGCGUGUGCGAUGAAGGCCUUCGGGUUGUAAAGCACUUUUGGCAGGAAAGAAACGUCGCGGGCUAAUACCCCGUGGAACUGACGGUACCUGCAGAAUAAGCACCGGCUAACUACGUG
rnacentral:rRNA from 1 species